AUAUCAAUAAGCGGAGGAAAAGAAACCAACAGGGAUUGCCUUAGUAACGGCGAGUGAAGCGGCAACAGCUCAAAUUUGAAAUCUGCCUCUAGGCCGAGUUGUAAUUUGUAGAAGAUGCUUCGGGUGUGGCACCGGUCUAAGUUCCUUGGAACAGGAUGUCAUAGAGGGUGAGAACCCCGUAUCCGGGCGGAUGCUCGCGCCAUGUGAAGCUCCUUCGACGAGUCGAGUUGUUUGGGAAUGCAGCUCAAAAUGGGAGGUAAAUUUCUUCCAAAGCUAAAUACCG
rnacentral:rRNA from 1 species